rnacentral:rRNA from 1 species
ACCUCCCUCUUUCUUCAGGCUUAACACAUGCAAGUCGAACGCCCCGCAAGGGGAGUGGCCGACGGGUGAGUAACGCGUGGGAACAUACCCUUUUCUACGGAAUAGCUCUGGGAAACUGGAAUUAAUACCGUAUACGCCCUACGGGGGAAAGAUUUAUCGGGGAAGGAUUGGCCCGCGUUGGAUUAGCUAGUUGGUGGGGUAAAGGCCUACCAAGGCGACGAUCCAUAGCUGGUCUGAGAGGAUGAUCAGCCACAUUGGGACUGAGACACGGCCCAAACUCCUACGGGAGGCAGCAGUGGGGAAUAUUGGACAAUGGGCGCAAGCCUGAUCCAGCCAUGCCGCGUGAGUGAUGAAGGCCUUAGGGUUGUAAAGCUCUUUCACCGAUGAAGAUAAUGACGGUAGUCGGAGAAGAAGCCCCGGCUAACUUCGUG